rnacentral:rRNA from 1 species
GACAGAGGAUGCAAGCGUUAUCCAGAAUAAUUGGGCGUAAAGCAUCUGUAGGUGGCUUUUCAAGUCCGCCGUCAAAUCCCUGGGCUCAACCCUGGACAGGCGGUGGAAACUACCAAGCUGGAGUACGGUAGGGGUAGAGGGAAUUUCCGGUGGAGCGGUGAAAUGCAUUGAGAUCGGAAAGAACACCAACGGCGAAAGCACUCUGCUGGGCCGACACUGACACUGAGAGACGAAAGCUAGGGGAGCAAAUGGG